UGGCGGACGGGUGAGUAACGCGUGGGUAACCUGCCCUGUACAGGGGGAUAACAGUUAGAAAUGACUGCUAAUACCCCAUAAGCGCACAGUGUCGCAUGACACAGUGUGAAAAACUCCGGUGGUACAGGAUGGACCCGCGUCUGAUUAGCUAGUUGGUGAGGUAACGGCUCACCAAGGCAACGAUCAGUAGCCGACCUGAGAGGGUGAUCGGCCACACUGGAACUGAGACACGGUCCAGACUCCUACGGGAGGCAGCAGUGGGGAAUAUUGCACAAUGGGCGAAAGCCUGAUGCAGCAACGCCGCGUGAGGGAAGAAGUCCUGCGGGAUGUAAACCUCUGUCCUAUGAGACGAAUAAUGACGGUAUCAUAGGAGGAAGCCAUGGCUAACUACGUGCCAGCAGCCGCGGUAAUACGUAGAUGGCAAGCGUUAUCCGGAAUGACUGGGCGUAAAGGGUGCGUAGGCGGUUCUUUAAGUCAGAUGUGAAAAUCCAGUGCUUAACAUUGGAACUGCAUUUGAAACUGGAGAACUUGAGUGCAGGAGAGGAAAGUGGAAUUCCUAGUGUAGCGGUGAAAUGCGUAGAUAUUAGGAGGAACACCAGUGGCGAAGGCGACUUUCUGGACUGUAACUGACGCUGAGGCACGAAAGCGUGGGGAGCGAACAGGAUUAGAUACCCUGGUAGUCCACGCUGUAAACGAUGAAUGCUAGGUGUGGGGUGUCAAAGCUCCGUGCCGCAGUUAACACAAUAAGCAUUCCGCCUGGGGAGUACGGCCGCAAGGUUG
rnacentral:rRNA from 1 species